GACGAACGCUGGCGGCGUGCUUAACACAUGCCAGUCGAACGGAAAGGCCCUGCUUUUGUGGGGUGCUCGAGUGGCGAACGGGUGAGUAACACUUGAGUAACCUGCCCCUGACUUUGGGAUAACUUCAGGAAACUGGUGCUAAUACCCGAUAGGAGCUCCUGCUGCAUGGUGGGGGUUGGAAAGUAUCGGCGUUUGGGGAUGGACUCGCGGCGUAUCAGCUAGUUGGUGGGGUAGUGGCUUACCAAGGCUUUGACGGGUCGCAGGCCUGAGAGGGUGACCGGCCACAGUGGGACUGAGAUACGGCCCAGACUCCUACGGGAGGCAGCAGUGGGGAAUAUUGCACAAUGGGCGGAAGCCUGAUGCAGCAACGCCGCGUGCGGGAUGACGGCCUUCGGGUUGUAAACCGCUUUCGCCUGUGACGAAGCGUGAGUGACGGUAAUGGGUAAAGAAGCACCGGCUAACUACGUG
rnacentral:rRNA from 1 species